rnacentral:rRNA from 1 species
AAAGCGUUAAGUUAUCCACCUGGGGAGUACGCCGGCAACGGUGAAACUCAAAGGAAUUGACGGGGGCCCGCACAAGCGGAGGAGCAUGUGGUUUAAUUCGAAGCAACGCGAAGAACCUUACCAGGUCUUGACAUCCUCUGACAACCCUAGAGAUAGGGCGUUCCCCUUCGGGGGACAGAGUGACAGGUGGUGCAUGGUUGUCGUCAGCUCGUGUCGUGAGAUGUUGGGUUAAGUCCCGCAACGAGCGCAACCCUUGAUCUUAGUUGCCAGCAUUUAGUUGGGCACUCUAAGGUGACUGCCGGUGACAAACCGGAGGAAGGUGGGGAUGACGUCAAAUCAUCAUGCCCCUUAUGACCUGGGCUACACACGUGCUACAAUGGAUGGUACAAAGGGCAGCAAAACCGCGAGGUCGAGCCAAUCCCAUAAAACCAUUCUCA